UACGGAGGGAGCUAGCGAUGUUCGGAAUUACUGGGCGUAAAGCGCGCGUAGGCGGCUAUCCAAGUCAGGGGUGAAAUCCCGGGGCUCAACCCCGGAACUGCCUCUGAAACUAGGUAGCUAGAAUACUGGAGAGGUGAGUGGAAUUCCGAGUGUAGAGGUGAAAUUCGUAGAUAUUCGGAAGAACACCAGUGGCGAAGGCGACUCACUGGACAGUUAUUGACGCUGAGGUGCGAAAGCGCGGGGAGCAAACAGG
rnacentral:rRNA from 1 species